rnacentral:rRNA from 1 species
UACGUAGGUGGCGAGCGUUGUCCGGAUUUACUGGGCGUAAAGGGAGCGUAGGCGGACUUUUAAGUGAGAUGUGAAAUACCUGGGCUCAACUUGGGUGCUGCAUUUCAAACUGGAAGUCUAGAGUGCAGGAGAGGAGAAUGGAAUUCCUAGUGUAGCGGUGAAAUGCGUAGAGAUUAGGAAGAACACCAGUGGCGAAGGCGAUUCUCUGGACUGUAACUGACGCUGAGGCUCGAAAGCGUGGGGAGCAAACAGGAUUAGAUACCCGGUA